rnacentral:rRNA from 1 species
ACGGAAGGCAGCAGUGGGGAAUAUUGCACAAUGGGCGCAAGCCUGAUGCGGCGAUGCCGCGUGAGGGAAGAAGGUUUUCGGAUUGUAAACCUCUGUCAACAGGGACGAAAAUGACGGUACCUGUGAAGGAAGCUCCGGCUAACUACGUGCCAGCAGCCGCGGUAAUACGUAGGGAGCAAGCGUUAUCCGGAAUUACUGGGUGUAAAGGGAGUGUAGGCGGGACUGUAAGUCAGAUGUGAAAUAUGCCGGCUCAACUGGCAGACUGCAUUUGAAACUGCGGUUCUUGAGUGAAGUAGAGGUAAGCGGAAUUCCUAGUGUAGCGGUGAAAUGCGUAGAUAUUAGGAGGAACAUCAGUGGCGAAGGCGGCUUACUGGGCUUUAACUGACGCUGAGGCUCAAAAGCGUGGGGAGCAAACAGGAUUAGAUACCCUGGUA